rfam:Triticum urartu cultivar G1812 contig869479, whole genome shotgun sequence.
UUAAUACUCCUUCCGUCCGGAAAUACUUGUCCCGAAAUGGUUGUAUCUAGACUUAUUUUAGUUAUAGAUACAUCUAUUUUAUUCAUUUAUAGGACAAGUAUUUCCGGACGAAGGAAGUAUAAA